GGCACUUCCUGCCUCAGUGGAUUUGGUUUUGCUCCUCACGAGAAGCACCUCCUGCUCUUUCACUGCUGCUCUCUGGAUUUGGCCAGUCAUGAAACUGUGAAGUGCAAAAAAUAACAGGAAAUUGGUUCAUUUGCCUUGGAGCACAGCAAUGGAAGAGCCUCAGCCUCAUCCCUGUCAAGAGGCAGCGCAUGGAGGAAGAGGCCAGUGGGGUCAGACUGACUGUCUGUGCCAGCCACGGCUGCCCUGUGGGACAGGAAGGAAGGUUAAAAGCCUGAUCAGAUGCUGGCUCUACACGCAAAAUCAUUGAGGGACUGCAGCAACCCCUCUCAGAACACAGAGCUGCACCAGGAACAACCCCUCACCACUGGGGCAGUGACUGGUGGGGCUGUGGUCUCCCACUGCUCUCUCCAGACCUUACUUGGUGGGGGCAGGAUUAAUAAGCCCUUCUGCUUUGCUCUGAACUGCUGUCAAUAGAUCAAUAAAUCUAAAUAAUGAGGUGCAUGCUGUUCCCUUCAGUU